GCGAGCGUGGUGCGGCUGUGGGACGGGGCCGCGGCCCUGCGGCCGCCAUGGCGGAGUGUUCGGGGCUGCAGUUCGUCAGUCCGUACGCCUUCGAGGCGAUGCAGAAGGUGGACGUGGUGCGCCUGGCCGCGCUCAGCGACCCCGAGCUGCGUCUGCUGCUGCCCUGCCUGGUGCGCAUGGCUCUCUGCGCUCCCGCGGACCAGAGCCAGAGCUGGGCCCAGGACAAGAAGCUCAUCCUGCGGCUCCUCUCGGGCGUGGAGGCCGUCAACUCCAUCGUUGCUCUGCUGUCCGUCGACUUCCACGCGCUGGAGCAGGACGCCAGCAAAGAGCAGCAGCUCCGGCACAAGCUGGGAGGAGGCAGCGGGGAGAGCAUCCUGGUGUCACAGCUGCAGCACGGGCUGACGCUGGAGUUUGAGCACAGCGAUUCGCCCCGCCGGCUCCGCCUGGUGCUCAGCGAGCUGCUGGCCAUCAUGAACAAGGUGUCGGAAUCGAACGGGGAGUUUUUUCUCAAAUCUUCCGAGCUCUUUGAGAGCCCUGUCUAUCUGGAGGAGGCAGCAGACGUUCUCUGCAUUCUGCAAGCAGAGCUGCCAUCGCUGUUGCCUAUAGUUGAUGUAGCUGAAGCACUGCUGCACGUUAAAAAUGGAGCCUGGUUCCUCUGCCUGCUGGUGGCAAAUGUUCCUGAUAGCUUUAAUGAGGUCUGUAGGGGUUUGAUUAAGAACGGGGAAAGGCAAGAUGAGGAAAGCGUUGGAGGCCGUCGCAGAACAGAAGCGCUGCGUCACCUCUGUAAGAUGAACCCUUCCCAAGCUCUGAGGGUCCGAGGCAUGGUGGUGGAAGAGUGCCACCUACCAGGUCUCGGUGUGGCUUUGACAUUGGAUCACACCAAAAAUGAAUCUUCGGAUGAUGGAGUGAGCGACCUGGUGUGUUUUGUGAGUGGUUUGCUGCUUGGAACGAAUGCAAAAGUUCGAACUUGGUUUGGAACUUUCAUCCGAAAUGGCCAGCAGAGAAAAAGAGAUAAUAUCAGUUCUGUGCUUUGGCAAAUGAGGAGACAGCUGCUCCUGGAGCUCAUGGGAAUCCUUCCCACGGUUCGCAGCACACACAUUGUUGAGGAAGCAGAUGUUGAUACGGAGCCAAAUGUCUCUGUGUAUUCUGGACUGAAGGAGGAGCACGUUGUGAAAGCCAGCGCGCUGCUUCGGCUCUACUGCGCUUUGAUGGGAAUUGCUGGGCUGAAACCAACAGAUGAAGAAGCUGAGCAGCUGCUGCAGCUGAUGACCAGCCGGCCGCCCGCGACCCCCGCUGGUGUUCGCUUUGUGUCUCUGUCCUUUUGCAUGCUCCUGGCCUUCUCCACUCUUGUCAGUACACCAGAACAGGAGCAGCUCAUGGUGAUGUGGCUUAGCUGGAUGAUAAAGGAAGAGGCUUACUUUGAAAGCAUUUCUGGUGUGUCUGCUUCCUUCGGAGAGAUGCUUCUCUUGGUAGCCAUGUAUUUCCACAGCAAUCAGCUCAGUGCUAUCAUUGAUUUGGUCUGCUCCACGCUGGGAAUGAAGAUUGUUAUAAAGCCCAGCUCUCUGAGCAGAAUGAAGACAAUCUUCACACAGGAGAUUUUCACUGAACAGGUUGUCACAGCCCAUGCAGUCCGUGUGCCCGUUACAGGCAGCCUCAGUGCCAACAUUACUGGGUUUCUGCCCAUUCACUGCAUUUACCAGCUGUUAAGGAGCCGAUCAUUCACCAAGCACAAAGUAUCCAUUAAGGACUGGAUUUACCGGCAGCUCUGUGAAACCACCACUCCGCUCCACCCUCAGCUGCUUCCUCUUAUUGAUGUCUACAUUAACUCCAUUCUGACUCCUGCAUCAAAAUCCAACCCAGAAGCCACAAACCAGCCUGUCACAGAACAGGAGAUACUGAAUGUUUUUCAAGGGCUCACUGGGGGAGAAAACGCUCGUCCUGCUCAGCGGUACAGCAUCACAACGCAACUGCUUGUCCUCUACUAUGUCCUGUCAUAUGAAGAAGCACUUCUGGCAAACACAAAGAUACUGGCUGCCAUGCAAAGAAAACCCAAGUCUUACUCUUCAGCAUUAAUGGAUCAGAUUCCCAUCAAGUACCUCAUCCGGCAGGCACAGGGGCUACAGCAGGAACUGGGAGGUUUGCAUUCUGCACUGCUACGCCUUCUUGCAACUAACUAUCCACACCUGUGCAUUGUGGAAGACUGGAUCUGCGAGGAGCAGAUCACGGGCACUGACGCCCUGCUGAGGAGGAUGCUCCUCACAACCAUUGCGAAGAACCAUUCUCCCAAACAGCUCCAGGAAGCAUUUUCCAUGCUGCCUGGAAAUCAUACCCAGCUGAUGCAGAUUUUAGAACACUUAACACUUCUCUCGGCUGGUGAAUUGAUCCCAUAUGCAGAAGUAUUGACAUCAAAUAUGAAUUGCUUGCUAAAUGCUGGAGUCCCACGGAGGAUUCUUCAGACUGUCAACAAACUGUGGAUGGUUCUUAACACUGUGAUGCCAAGAAGGUUGUGGGUGAUGACUGUUAAUGCUCUGCAGCCUUCGGUGAAGAUGGUCCGACAGCAGAAGUACACUCAGAAUGAUCUGAUGAUUGAUCCUUUGAUCGUGCUGAGGUGUGAUCAGAGAGUUCAUAGGAGCCCUCCUCUGAUGGAUAUAACUUUGCACAUGUUGAAUGGAUAUCUUCUUGCUUCAAAAGCUUACCUCAAUGCUCACCUGAAAGAAACAGCAGAGCAGGACAUUAGGCCAUCCCAGAACAAUGCUAUGGGUCCAGAAACCCCAGAAGUUACAAGGGAAGAAUUGAAAAAUGCAUUGCUUGCUGCUCAGGACAGCGCUGCCGUGCAGAUUCUUCUAGAGAUCUGCUUACCAACAGAAGAGGAGAAAACCCAGAGCAGCAGUACCUACAGUUUGCUAAAGAGUGUUCAGAAUACCACAGGUCCUAAGAGUUCAGAUCUAGAGGAAGAGGAAGAUAGCUUGCUGUGUAACCUUCGAGAGGUCCAGUGUCUGAUCUGCUGUCUGCUGCAUCAGAUGUAUAUAGCUGACCCCAACAUAGUAAAGCUAGUUCAUUUCCAGGGUUAUCCAUGUGAACUGCUGGCCCUGACAGUGGCAGGGAUUCCAUCGAUGCACAUCUGUUUGGAUUUCAUACCUGAGCUCAUUGCCCAGCCUGAACUUGAAAAACAGAUGCUCCUGAAUUUCAGUGUUACUUCACCUCUAAGAACGGGAAUAAAAGCUCUUUAAGUAACAGCUUUCGUUUUUUAUAUUGUGUAUCUAUCAGUUGGCAGAAGUUUUGCCUACUUAGCUUUUCAGCUGAUACUUGAUCGCUAGAGGAACUUGCACGAGUGUUCAGAUUUUGAAAAGCUUUUUUUUGCAGAGAUGCUCUGCAGAACAGAUGGAGCAGCCUGAGGAUCAAAAUUUAUCUUUCCUUGUGAAAGGUUUGACCACCAAGUCUUUUUUUUUCCCGAAGGAAUAUUAUUACAUAAUUGAAGCUUAGCAAAGGAAGAGUCAGAAAUUUGAUUUUUGAAAGGCCUUCUUGUGAUGGUUGUGAAAAACAAGGGCAAAAAAUUGUUAAUUAGUAGUUCUUAAAGCAAUGAUAAAUGUUGAUUUGGUAUACUGCAACAUAGGAGAUGACAAAUUUCUCUAGUCCUAGGUAGCUGGAUAGUUGGGAGCUAAAGAUUCUUCUGUUUUCUGUGUUAAACAAAUUUCUUGUUUGCGUUUAUUUAAUCCCUUUUAAAUACUGCUCGUGAGAUGGCAUUCAGCUGAAAUUUAAGCUAGAACACAUGGGAUAUUUAACAGCUUUUACAAGGAUUACAUUGUAAAUUGUUUGUUCCUUUGUUGCUCAUUGAAGUGUUGGAACAAAUUAUGUCUGUGAGGGCAAUUCUGGAAGUCUAACUGAUGCUUGACUAAUGUUAAACAUCUGUGUUGUGUUUUUUUAAAGUCAGCAGAAAAAUUUUGCAAUAACUAUUUUUAAGGCUUCUCUUCCUUGUUGUGAAAUGGAGAAUAUUUACUAACUCCUAAGUUAUGUGGAGAGGAUCAUAAUUGCAAAGCACUGUAUAACUCACUGUUUAUUUCUUUCUUGCCUUUUACCUACUUCCCAGAUAUUUGCCAUCCAGUUACUUUCGUUUUUGUGCAUUCAAUAUGCUCUACCGAAAUCUCUCAGUGUGGCUCGCUUGGCUAUCAAUGUGAUGGGAACCCUACUCACAGUUUUAACCCAGUCGAAGC